GGUGGUGUGGUGUAAUGGUAGCACGUAACGUUGUGGUCAACGAUUCCGUUCCGAUCCCGGUUCGAUUCCGGGCACCGCCA